rnacentral:lncRNA from 1 species
CCCCACAGCAGGCGAAUGUGCCCUCAGACCCUCAGUGGUGUCCCCUCCCGCUGCAGCUCACAGAAUAGGAGGCGGAGGUUCCCUCCAUUAGGGUGUCUUGGUCCCACCCCCGUACUGUACACGGUCCGUUUGUCGCUCGCGGAACCUGCUAGCCUCCCGCUCUCCAGGGGGAGUCGCUCUGCAAAUGGCGGCGGGUAUGCUGUGUGUGCAGGGGAGGGCAGGUCGGGGCCUUCCCGGGUCGCCGUUGGAUCAGAACUCCUUGUCUCCCUUUAAUCCAGUCUUAGGUCAAAUAUUCUUUACCCUUUUACCCUCUUCUAUUUCCUUUGCGUUCCUUUUGUUAAUAUGAAGUAAUUGUCUUCAUUGAAAAAAAAAAAUGUAUCCAAUAUCUGUCUGCUCAGGAGGGUUUAGGAGAAAGGAUCGACAGGACUUGGUGACCUGUGACAGGUUCCACUCCGGUCGGGCUUACAGGAGGUGCAGCUCUGGGGCAGGUUGGGCUCGUGGUGCCCGAGUCCUGGGAGCAGGCGUCCCCGAGGCAGAGAGGAGAGGCAGACACGGGGACGCGAGGCGAGUGCUCAGGGCCAGAUCGCAGUGCGAGCAAGAGGGGAAGGGACCAGCGAGGGCCGAAUGUUUGGGUCACGCAGGGCGGCUGCGUAACGUGGAGCGGCAACCGUCUGAAGCCCGUCCAAAGGCAAAGCGAGAGCGGUGGGGGGACGGGACAGUUUGAUCCGAGGGAUGGUCAGCUGUGGGCAGCAAGUGCCACUGGCGGCUGUAACACGCCACUGUCCCUGGAAGCCAGGCCCAAGGCCACCGGCGACCCUGCUGAGCAGCCUCCAGGCCACGGGGGAGGGACGGCAGGCGGGACGUAGGGGAAGGAGAGAGGAGAGCGGACCACGGAAGCAGGAACAGGGACGACCGUCCAUUUUCACGUUGCGCAAUGGGAGAGGCUGCGCGCGCUUCCGGGGGAGGGAGCAGUGCCAGGGCAGAGCCCGAGAAGAGGACCUUGAACUUGCAGCAGCAGCUGGGUGGGGGCGGCAGAGGGGCCCGGAGGCUGGGAGCAGAGAAGGAAGAGGCCGGAGAUGGCCGACCGUGGGCAUUUCGGAUCCAUACCGCAUUCUCCACAGCCUCUCUGAAGCGGACCGUCACAUUUUCCAACGCUGUCUGAAGAAUCGUCCCGUGUUGGUUCCGAACCAAAAAGGUCAGUGGCUUCACCCGGUCCUUUCCUCAUCCGAAAAACAUCUCAAACUUUCUGGUGCUCACAGGAGAGUAUAA